rnacentral:rRNA from 1 species
GACGAACGCUGGCGGCGUGCUUAACACAUGCAAGUCGAACGGAAAGGCCUCUUUCGUGGGGUACUCGCGUGGCGAACGGGUGAGUAACACACGAGUAACCUGCCCUCGUCUUUGGGAUAACUUCAGGAAACAGGGGCUAAUACCGGAUAGAAGCUCCUGCUGCACGGUGGGGGUUGGAGAGUUUCGCGGGUUUGGGGUGGACUCGCGGCUUAUCAGCUUGUUGGUGGGGUAGUGGGUUACCAAGGCUUUGCCGGGUAGGCGGCCUGGGGGGGUGACCCGCCACACUGGGACUGAGGGAAGGCCCCGGCACCUACGGGAGGGCGCAGGGGGGAAGAUUGCACAAGGGGUGGAAGGCUGGUGCAGCAACGCCGGGGGCGGGAUGACGGCCUUCGGGGUGGAAACCGCUUUCGCUCAUGACGAAGCUUUGUGUGACGGUAGUGGGUAAAGAAGCACCGGCUAACUACGUG